GCCUCGUUAGCGCAGUAGGCAGCGCGUCGGUCUCAUAAUCUGAAGGUCGUGAGAUCCUCACAUGGGGCA
rnacentral:tRNA from 1 species